rnacentral:rRNA from 1 species
UAUUGUCAGAACACAGGGAUGCCCUAGUACGGCGAGUGAAGCGGCAACAGCUCAAAUUUGAAAUCUGGCUCUUUUAGAGUCCGAGUUGUAAUUUGCAGAGGGCGCUUUGGCUUUGGCAGCGGUCCAAGUUCCUUGGAACAGGACGUCACAGAGGGUGAGAAUCCCGUACGUGGUCGCUGGCUAUUGCCGUGUAAAGCCCCUUCGACGAGUCGAGUUGUUUGGGAAUGCAGCUCUAAAUGGGAGGUACAUUUCUUCUAAAGCUAAAUAUUGGCCAGAGACCGAUAGCGCACAAGUAGAGUGAUCGAAAGAUGAAAAGCACUUUGGAAAGAGAGUCAAACAGCACGUGAAAUUGUUGAAAGGGAAGCGCUUGCAGCCAGACUUGCUUGCAGUUGCUCAUCCGGGCUUUUGCCCGGUGCACUCUUCUGUAGGCAGGCCAGCAUCAGUUUGGGCGGUAGGAUAAAGGUCUCUGUCACGUACCUCUCUUCGGGGAGGCCUUAUAGGGGAGACGACAUACUACCAGCCUGGACUGAGGUCCGCGCAUCUGCUAGGAUGCUGGCGUAAUGGCUGUAAGCGGCCCGUCUUGAAACACGGACCAAGGAGUCUAACAUCUAUGCGAGUGUUUGGGUGUCAAGCCCGAGCGCGUAAUGAAAGUGAACGGAGGUGGGAACCCGCAAGGGUGCACCAUCGACCGAUCCUGAUGUCUUCGGAAGGAUUUGAGUAAGAGCAUGGCUGUUGGGACCCGAAAGAUGGUGAACUAUGCUUGAAUAGGGUGAAGCCAGAGGAAACUCUGGUGGAGGCUCGCAGCGGUUCUGACGUGCAAAUCGAUCGUCAAAUUUGGGCAUAGGGGCGAAAGACUAAUCGAACUAUCUAGUAGCUGGUCUGCGAGUCUCCCUCAGGAACCAGCUAUUGAAACUCCAAUAGCCUUCGCCCUAUGCCCAAUUUGAGACGAUUGACGUCAAACCCUGCGACCUCACAAACUCCUCUCGCUUCCCUAAUCAGGCAAGUUCACGUUUCGGACGAUACUAGUCUUACUCAAACUCUCGAAGACUGGACUGUCGAGUUCCCUUGCGUGCCACUCGCGUUACCUAUAAUCGCUGCAGACGAACUCUGAAGUAUCUUGACCGUCAUAGCGUUGCUAUGCCACGCUAAUGAUGCGCUUACGGAUUACC